CAAAGAAUAUUUUACCUGGAAGCUGUCUUCUUACCGCACAAUUCACUCUGGCUCUAGGAAACUCUUCCCAUCGUUACAGUAGAGCAGCUACACUAUGCAGACACCGCUCCUGAAUAACAGAGUUGACCACAUUUUGUGGUGUUGACAGUGAGACAAAGAGAAGUGAAGUACAUUCAUCUGAGGCAGCAGCAUCACCAGAAACCUGGAGUGGAGAAAAUCAAGAAGAUAGUCUUUUAUAUUCAAAGAGAUUCUGUUGUGACUCAUUUGACCUUCUGUGAUUCAUGUACCAUAGUGACUUGCAAUAUUAUUGGGAAACUAACUUGAAUGCUUAUUGUACUGUCUUCCAAGUAUUUCAAUCCAGGCAACAUUUCCUGAGUCAUGACUGUAGGUACUGUCAAAUGUUCCCCCCACCCCACUCAGGACUUCCUUCAGUCUUAAUGGUGAUUGGUGAAAGUCUAUCACCAGACAUGUAAUCUUCCAACAUGUGGUUCACUCCUUGGUAAAAUGUAGAGUGAUUUGUUUUCCAUAAACUGUCAGUAACAAUGCACAUAUCAAUGAUUUCAACAUUGCAGUGAAUCAGCUUGUUAGAUUCUGGGAUACAUAUUAAUAAAAAAAAAAGGAGACUGAUGUCACCCAAAAAAAGUAAAAAAUGAAAGUCAAGGCUAUGGGAGUCAGAGGGUUUUUCAGGAAAAGACUGUGCCUCCAGCUACUCAGGGACUUGAAGUUCGUACAUAGAAGUAUUUCUACCACAGGUUUGAUUGGCAGUGGGGUGAGGCACACUACAUCCUGCAUCAGUCUGAUCAACUCACACUAGUGUGUUAAUGUUGUGAUCUCAGCUUUUCUGCAGCUCAGUUUUCAUGUGUGGUCAGUGGAAGGGAUGGAGCAUUAUCCAGAAUGGUCUAUCAGAUGAGAACUUCUUCCCUGAUUGAGCCCUGGGUGUAGAGAACAGCACAGAGGGCCCUAAAGAUGGCUAUAGAGGAAGCCAAGGCUCUACCUGGUCUGGAUUAUGUAUGGUAACAAAAUGGUGGGAGAAUGCUAUUACCAUAUGGUUAGCAGGUGUCUCUCAUUGUUGGUCUAUGGGGAGUUAAUUUUAUUUCCUUUUCUUUUGCUGUCUUCAUUAAAAUUUUAUUAACGAAUGUAUUUUUCUCACCUGCAUGAAAUAUUAAAUUUAAUAACCUAUUCAUUCCCAA